rnacentral:rRNA from 1 species
GCAACUCGCCUGCAUGAAGUCGGAAUUGCUAGUAAUCGCGGAUCAGCAUGCCGCGGUGAAUACGUUCUCGGGCCUUGUACACACCGCCCGUCACACCAUGGGAGUCGGUAACACCCGAAGUCUGUAGCCUGACGCAAGAGGGCGCAGCCGAAGGUGGGAUUGAUGACUGGGGUGAAGUCGUAACAAGGUACC